GAUGAACGCUGGCGGCGUGCCUAAUACAUGCGAGUCGAGCGAACAGACGGGGAGCUUGCUGCUCUGACGUUAGCGGCGGACGGGUGAGUAACACGUGGAUAACCUACCUAUAAGACUGGGAUAACUUCGGGAAACCGGAGCUAAUACCGGAUAAUAUAUUGAACCGCAUGGUUCAAUAGUGAAAGACGGUUUUGCUGUCACUUAUAGAUGGAUCCGCGCCGCAUUAGCUAGUUGGUAAGGUAACGGCUUACCAAGGCAACGAUGCGUAGCCGACCUGAGAGGGUGAUCGGCCACACUGGAACUGAGACACGGUCCAGACUCCUACGGGAGGCAGCAGUAGGGAAUCUUCCGCAAUGGGCGAAAGCCUGACGGAGCAACGCCGCGUGAGUGAUGAAGGUCUUCGGAUCGUAAAACUCUGUUAUUAGGGAAGAACAAAUGUGUAAGUAACUAUGCACGUCUUGACGGUACCUAAUCAGAAAGCCACGGCUAACUACGUG
rnacentral:rRNA from 1 species